rnacentral:rRNA from 1 species
UACAGAGGUCCCAAGCGUUGUUCGGAUUCACUGGGCGUAAAGGGUGCGUAGGUGGUCGGGUAAGUCUGAUGUGAAAUCUCCGAGCUUAACUCGGAAAUGGCAUUGGAUACUAUUCGGCUAGAGGGUUUGAGGGGGGACUGGAAUACUUGGUGUAGCAGUGAAAUGCGUAGAUAUCAAGUGGAACACCAGUGGCGAAGGCGAGUCCCUAGAAAACUCCUGACACUGAGGCACGAAAGCUAGGGGAGCAAACAGG